CGUAGGUCUCGAGCGUUAUCCGGAAUUACUGGGCGUAAAGGGUUGGUAGGUGGUAAAGUGGGUCUUUAGUAAAAGCCACAAGCUCAACUUGUGUUUCGCUAAAGAAACUGCUUUUCUCGAGGGUAGCAGGGGCAGAUGGAAUUCCCGGUGUAGCAGUGAAAUGCGUUGAUAUCGGGAAGAACACCAAUGGCGCAGGCAGUCUGCUAGGCUACUCCUAACACUGAGCAACGAAAGCGUGGGGAGCGAACGGGA
rnacentral:rRNA from 1 species